CCCCGUUAUGAAUGUUUGGCAUGGAUUUUGGAAGCGACUGGAUAAGAUUAUCUAAUAGGAUAUAAAAAAGUAGGACACACUGUGCCUGGGACCGGGAACAUGAAUAAGCAGGGCCUGUUUCUGGCUCCGUGUCUCGCUGUUCCUUCAGCUCCAGUAUCACUCUAUUCAUUGGGGGUCUCCCUGGGCCAAAAAGGAUAAAAACUUAAGCAGGGAGUAGCAAACUGGAGGGACAGAUGACCCAGUCUGAGAAGGGAACACUGACGGAGGUCAACCGGUCACUCUUGACUGGAAUGUACCAAUAGGAAAACGUCACAAGGCUUGCGUUAAAAGGUAGCUGUGCCACUUGCUAGGCCAACCAUUCCCUGGCAACCAAGAGGUGUCCAUGCUGGGAAGAUCUGGAGGAGAGGAGAGGGGAAUGUUAAGUGCAAGCUGGACUGGGAAUUGGAAUAGGAAUCGCAGACUGAUGGAGCUGAAAGCCAUGCCAGGCUUGGAGGGAGGCCUAUUAAAGGCCAAAGUCACCACGGCAACGGCAGCACUGACGAGAGCCCACGUGGACCGCCAGCAAUUUACCCGGGAAAGAACCGAAAUAACCUGUGCUAAAGCCUGCAUUAGGCAACGAGGGCAGGGGGGGGCCGGGGGGGUCAUAAAGCCUGUGAUAUGGGUGUUGCUCUGGAUACGGGUGUCCACUCGGCAGGCAGAAACACGGCGAGAUAAAGGGGUGUGUCGGGCAGAGAGACUUGCGCUCGAAAACAGGCAGGGAUGGGCACCUUCCUGCCCCCUACUGGUCAGAGGGGGAGGACGCAGGGGUGGCGGGGGG